GACGAACGCUGGCGGCGUGCUUAACACAUGCAAGUCGAACGAGUGGCGAACGGGUGAGUAACACGUGGGUGAUCUGCCUUGCACUUCGGGAUAAGCUUGGGAAACUGGGUCUAAUACCUGAUAGUGCAAGAUGAGCUCGCGGCCUAUGGGCUUGUUGGUGGGGUAAUGGCUCCCAAGGCGCGACGGGUAGCCGGCCUGAGAGGGUGUACGGCCACGUUGGGACGGAGAUACGGCCCAGACGCCUACGGGAGGCAGCAGUGAGGAAUAUUGCACAAUGGGCGGAGGCCUGAUGCAGCGAGGAUGCGGGGGGGAUGAAGGCCUUCGGGUUGUAAACUCCUUUCGACAGGGACGCGGUAGCUGGAGAAGAAGCGCCGGCUAACUACGUGCCAGCAGCCGCGGUAAUUC
rnacentral:rRNA from 1 species